rnacentral:rRNA from 1 species
GAUGAACGCUGACAGAAUGCUUAACACAUGCAAGUCUUUGGCGAAGCUGUGCUUGCACAGCCUAGCCAAGGCGGACGGGUGAGUAACGCGUAAGGAACUUGCCCUGCAGUCAGGGAUAACAGACGGAAACGACUGAUAAGACCUGGUAAAGUCAGGCGGACUCAUGUCCAGCCUGAUGAAAAGAGAUGCUGCAGGAGAGCCUUGCGUCCUAUUAGCUUGUUGGUGGGGUAACGGCCCACCAAGGCGAUGAUAGGUAGCCGGCCUGAGAGGGUGGACGGCCACAAGGGGACUGAGAUACGGCCCUUACUCCUACGGGAGGCAGCAGUGGGGAAUAUUGGACAAUGGGGGCAACCCUGAUCCAGCAAUUCUGUGUGCACGAUGAAGGUUUUCGGAGUGUAAAGUGCUUUCAGCAGGGAAGAAAAAAAUGACGGUACCUGCAGAAGAAGCGACGGCUAAAUACGUG